UGACUAGUGAAUACAUAGCGAGCAAGAGGUAGACGCAGUGAACUGAAACAGCUUAGUAGCUGCAGGAAGAUAAAUAAAUAUCGAUUCUCUGAGUAGCGGCGAGCGAAAAGGGAAGAGCCCAAACCAACAAGCUUGCUUGUUGGGGUUGUAGGACUGAACAUUAGAGUUACCAAAGUGCGACGUAGUCGCAACAGUUGGGAAGCUGUGCCAUAGAGGGUGAAAGCCCCGUAGACGAAACGUCACACUCUCUGUUCAG
rnacentral:rRNA from 1 species